GAGGUGUGAGGGCUGUCGCUGACCUUUGAAGGUCGUGCACGCCCAAGCAACCUCUUACACAUCCAUCUCACCCCUUUGUGCAUCACCGCGUGGGUCCCCUUUACAGGAGGGCUUGCGUUUUCACAUAAAACUUGAUACAGUGUAGAAUGUUUUUGCUUUUGCGGUCACACGCAAUCAAUACAACUUUCAACAACGGAUCUCUUGGCUCUCGCAUCGAUGAAGAACGCAGCGAAAUGCGAUACGUAAUGUGAAUUGCAGAAUUCAGUGAAUCAUCGAAUCUUUGAACGCACCUUGCGCCCCUUGGCAUUCCGAGGGGCACACCCGUUUGAGUGUCGUGAAAUAUCAAAAAACCUUUUUUCUUUAAAGGAUUUUUUUUGGACUUGGAGGUUCCAUGCUCGGUUUUGCUUUUGAAAGCGAGCUCCUCUCAAAUGAAUUAGUGGGGUCCGCUUUGCUGAUCCUUGACGUGAUAAGAUGUUUCUACGUUUUGGAUUUAGCACUGUCCCUUGGACGCCCGCUUCCAAUCGUCCCAUGGACAAUAAUGAUGUGCUCUGGUCAUCGCUGUCUACAUUGGCAGGGAGGGCUGGA
rnacentral:rRNA from 1 species